UACGAAGGGUGCAAGCGUUACUCGGAAUUACUGGGCGUAAAGGGUGCGUAGGUGGUUGUUUAAGUCUGUUGUGAAAGCCCCGGGCUCAACCUGGGAAUGGCAAUGGAUACUGGACAGCUAGAGUGCGGUAGAGGGUAGUGGAAUUCCCGGUGGUAGCAGUGAAAUGCGUAGAGAUCGGGAGGAACACCAGUGGCGAAGGCGGCUGACCUGGACCAGCACUGGACACUGAAGCACGAAAGCGUGGGGGAGCAAACAGGG
rnacentral:rRNA from 1 species